CAAUAAAGCUGGGGACAAGGCAUCUGGCCGCAAAACGCUCUGGCCAUAAGUGUGCCACCAAGGAGCAUGUCCAGACGGGCACCAAACAACAGGAAGAGCAAUCGACCGUUCAUCAACAGGGUGACCAAUUCCAACAGUCUCUGUCUGAGAAACACCCCAGCAGGGAUGAUGAAUUGGAGAAUAGAGUGAAGCAACUGUGGGCAAUGUCUUCGGAUGGAGUGGACAGGGCAACCGCACGAUUUUUGUUGGAGGGAUCCGUUGCCAUCCUGCAC